rnacentral:rRNA from 1 species
CAGCCGCCACGGUAAUACGAAGGGGGCUAGCGUUGUUCGGAUUUACUGGGCGUAAAGCGCACGUAGGCGGACUUUUAAGUCAGGGGUGAAAUCCCGGGGCUCAACCCCGGAACUGCCUUUGAUACUGGAAGUCUUGAGUAUGGUAGAGGUGAGUGGAAUUCCGAGUGUAGAGGUGAAAUUCGUAGAUAUUCGGAAGAACACCAGUGGCGAAGGCGACAUACUGGCUCAUUACUGACGCUGAGGCUCGAAAGCGUGGGGAGCAAACAGGAUUAGAUACCCCCGUAGUCCCUGUCUCUUAUAC